rnacentral:rRNA from 1 species
UACGUAGGGUGCAAGCGUUGUCCGGAAUUAUUGGGCAUAAAGAGCUCGUAGGCGGUUUGUCGCGUCUGCUGUGAAAACUCGGGGCUCAACCCCGAGCUUGCAGUGGGUACGGGCAGACUAGAGUGCGGUAGGGGAGACUGGAAUUCCUGGUGUAGCGGUGGAAUGCGCAGAUAUCAGGAGGAACACCGGUGGCGAAGGCGGGUCUCUGGGCCGUAACUGACGCUGAGGAGCGAAAGCAUGGGGAGCGAACAGG